rnacentral:misc_RNA from 1 species
UAAUUUUUUUUUCUUAAUAUUAGUAAAUAAUGUUAAAAUUUAAUAGUUUGUGCAACCACAUGACAAAUUGCAGCUCUUUAACUUGUAUCAGAGAUGGCCUACAUUGAUUUCACUUGCUAUAAAAGCACAAAACUGACCACAAUUCAUCCAUUCUGCAGAUCAUUACAAAUCCAUUGUUCUGUUCCAGUAAACAAGAAUAACAAGUUUACUUUUAGAUAAUAAAAGGCAGUUUUUUAGAUAAUGGAGUGGGUAUAAU